CCUCCUGAGUCCUCCACCCCUGCUCAUAGGGCUGGAUUCAGAAAGGGGGCAGGGCUCCGGGGCCCCCUUAGCCCUGGGCUGCAGCCCCUAAAGCCCUUGCGUUCCAGCCCUGCCUGGCGUGGGCGGGGAGGCGGCUCUGAAAUCACGACCAAUGGAAGCUGCGGGGGGCGGUGGCUGCGGGGCAAGCACAGGGCCGCACAGAGCCACCUAAACUCCCCGCACCUGCACUGCCCGCACCAAACGGGAGCUGCCCCAGACCACAGAGCUGGACCAUGUGGGACAGGACUGAACGAGAUUGGCAGCAGAAGACAAUGCCGGCAAUGCUACUGCUUGCUAGAUAGACUGGGCUUCAGUCUCCAGAGCUGUCACACCAGCACUAAAUUCACUUCAGAAGUUUCAUAUUAAUUUGCUUAACACUCAUUUAUGGUCAUUUCAGUGUGUUAAUUAAAUACAUUAAAAAAUUCAAUGACA